AGAAAAGAACAACAAAGCCUCUUGGGAAAUUAUGGUAGCCUGUGGGGUUGCCCUUAUAAGUGCUUGCAAAGUAUCUCAAGGCCACUCUAGAGAACCCUAAUUCUCUGGGGAUUCCAGGGAUUGAUCCUGACCAAAGUCCAUCUGGAAGCUUUACAAAAACUUAGGUGACAACAGAUACUGGAGAAGAUGUAGAAGGAACACUCCUCCAUUGCUAGUGGGAUUGUAAGCCACUAGCUUGCAAUUGUAAAGCCAACCUGGAAAUCAUCUGGCAGUCCCUCAGAAAACUGGAAUGCUAGAGAGGAGAUUGUAAUAAAUACUGAGCAUAAGAGACACUGGAGUGUUCAGCUGAAUGGAAAAUACCCAUUCCUCCCCACCAGGCUCAGGGACCUUCAAUGAAGAAUUGGUAACAAACACAGUAAAAGCUAGAGGUGGUGGAUAAACAGAAAGGGAACCAAGAACUGUCAAGCUUGCACCAGACAAAAAGUUUUAGUCUGAAAUCCUUAUGUGCAGAGGAAGGUAUGGACAUGAGAUUGCACCACUGUGAAGAGCUGUUGGCACCAAUGUUUCACUGGAGCACUGCUGGGAGAGAGAGAGUCUAAAUCAUGUAAUGCUGGCCCUGGCAGGUGAAAUACACUCCACAGUAUGCCCCACUCACAAGAUACUUGGAUACCACAGACUGAACCUGAUGUGCUUAACAAACCAAAACAAGGAAGAAACUGAAGUUGAAGGAGUGUCAAGGUGAAAAUGGAGAGAGAGAGCUAAUGAGGGGGGAUGAAUAAAAAGAAUUCAUUGUAUAAAA